AAGGAAUCAUAGAACAUGUGGAUUCUUGUGACUGAUUUCUUUCACUUUCCAAGGCUCAUUCAAGCUACAGGAGAGGUAGAGUUGCAGGGCCAAACGGAUACAUCUCUACGUUUUGGUACCUGCUGCUGAAUUUGUCUCCAGCUACUCUGUCCUUCUCAUCCCUGGUGAGGAGGCCUGUCCCCCUCUAUCUGAGAGGCUGUAUGCUGGGAGGAGGGUGUCCUGCCUGCCUCCCAGAGACAACCACCGAUCACUUCAGAAUCCAACGCAGGACGAGACCCAGAACACGGCCGCCCCUCCUGCCAGGCCCUGGGUGGCACACGGGCCACCGGUGGCUGAUGGACAACUUCAACCUGUUCUCCCAUCAUCAACCCUACGGGGGGGGCCUAUGUGUCCCCAUUCUGCAGAUGAGGAAACUGAGGCUGGGGGAGGGAAGGGACUCGUCCAAGGUCACUUGUCCAAGUCCUUGCUCUUGCUGCGGCCGCCCUCUUUCCCCGAAGAAUGACCUCUGCUCAGGGAAAGAGCCAGCCUGGAGCCAGGUGGGGGCUGGGGGCCUCCUGGGUCCCCUGACCCAACUGGUUCUGCCCGAGUAAAGGCCUGCUCCUUGCA